AGAGUUUGAUCCUGGCUCAGGAUGAACGCUAGCGGCAGGCUUAACACAUGCAAGUCGAGGGGCAUCGGGAGGGAAGCUUGCUUUCCUUGCCGGCGACCGGCGCACGGGUGAGUAACACGUAUGCAACCUGCCCUCUUCAGGGGGACAACCUUCCGAAAGGGAGGCUAAUCCCGCGUAUAUCGGUUUCGGGCAUCCGAGAUCGAGGAAAGAUUCAUCGGAAGAGGAUGGGCAUGCGGCGCAUUAGCUAGACGGCGGGGUAACGGCCCACCGUGGCGACGAUGCGUAGGGGUUCUGAGAGGAAGGUCCCCCACACUGGUACUGAGACAUGGACCAGACUCCUACGGGAGGCAGCAGUGAGGAAUAUUGGUCAAUGGGAGAGAUCCUGAACCAGCCAAGCCGCGUGAGGGAAGACGGCCCUAUGGGUUGUAAACCUCUUUUGUCGGAGAACAAAACCCGGGACGAGUCCCGGACUGCGUGUAUCCGAAGAAAAAGCAUCGGCUAACUCCGUGCCAGCAGCCGCGGUAAUACGGAGGAUGCGAGCGUUAUCCGGAUUUAUUGGGUUUAAAGGGUGCGUAGGCGGUCCGUUAAGUCAGCGGUAAAAUUGCGGGGCUCAACCCCGUCGAGCCGUUGAAACUGGCAGACUUGAGUUGGCGAGAAGUACGCGGAAUGCGCGGUGUAGCGGUGAAAUGCAUAGAUAUCGCGCAGAACUCCGAUUGCGAAGGCAGCAUACCGGCGCCAGACUGACGCUGAGGCACGAAAGCGUGGGGAUCGAACAGGAUUAGAUACCCUGGUAGUCCACGCAGUAAACGAUGAAUGCUGGUUGUCCGGGUCGAAUGAGAUCCGGGCGGCGAAGCGAAAGCGAUAAGCAUUCCACCUGGGGAGUACGCCGGCAACGGUGAAACUCAAAGGAAUUGACGGGGGCCCGCACAAGCGGAGGAACAUGUGGUUUAAUUCGAUGAUACGCGAGGAACCUUACCCGGGCUCAAACGGGAGUGGAAUGGACCAGAGACGGUUCAGCCUACGGGCCGCUUCCGAGGUGCUGCAUGGUUGUCGUCAGCUCGUGCCGUGAGGUGUCGGCUUAAGUGCCAUAACGAGCGCAACCCCCGCCGGCAGUUGCUAACGGGCAAUGCCGAGGACUCUGCCGGGACUGCCGCCGCAAGGCGAGAGGAAGGCGGGGAUGACGUCAAAUCAGCACGGCCCUUACGUCCGGGGCGACACACGUGUUACAAUGGGCGGUACAGCGGGAAGCCAGGCGGCGACGCCGAGCGGAACCCGAAAGCCGUUCUCAGUUCGGAUCGGAGUCUGCAACCCGACUCCGUGAAGCUGGAUUCGCUAGUAAUCGCGCAUCAGCCAUGGCGCGGUGAAUACGUUCCCGGGCCUUGCACACACCGCCCGUCAAG
rnacentral:rRNA from 1 species